UACGGGGGGGGCAAGCGUUGUUCGGAAUUACUGGGCGUAAAGGGCUCGUAGGCGGCCAACUAAGUCAGACGUGAAAUACCUCGGCUCAACCGAGGAACUGCGUCCGAUACUGCCUGGCUUGAGGUCCGGAGGGGAGAGUGGAAUUCCCGGUGGAGCGGUGAAAUGCGUAGAGAUCGGGAAGAACGCCGGCGGCGAAGGCAGCUCUCUGGGACGUAACUGACGCUGAGACGCGAAAGCGUGGGGAGCAAACAGG
rnacentral:rRNA from 1 species